rnacentral:rRNA from 1 species
GGACUACCGGGGUAUCUAAUCCCGUUUGCUCCCCUAGCUUUCGCGCCUCAGCGUCAGUAUUGGGCCAGAUGAGCGCCUUCGCCACCGGUGUUCCUCCUGAUAUCUACGCAUUUCACCGCUACACCAGGAAUUCCCUCAUCCUCUCCCAUACUCAAGUCCGGCAGUUUGGGAUGCAGAUCCCCGGGUAAGCCGGGGCAUUUCACAUUCCACUUACCGGACCGCCUACACGCCCUUUACGCCCAGUGAUUCCGAACAACGCUUGCUCCCCCCGUGUUACCGCGGCUGCUGGCAC